UGACAAAGCCAACGAUGCAGCUUCAAGUUACAACUUUCUGGGCACUUUUGCUUUUGGGUGCCACAAGCACCACUUCCGCUGCUGAUUGUGGCAAUCUGGAUCAAAACAUCGUCAUCAGAAGCCACAAGUCAGGGUUGGUUUUAGUCGCUGAUGAAGUGUUGAACAUUAUAACUCUGCAAUUUUAAGACCGGUCGGUUAGCCAACGGUUCCAUUUUCAACCUGGUGUGACCCUUGCAUCUUUCAAUAUUAUUAGUAACAGCACAGGGUUAGCUUUGGACAUCAUUGAGAAUGGGAGUCUCUAUGUUGCAACUUUGACUGAACUCAAUGAUUUGAAAA